GCAAGUCGAGCGGGGGACGGUAGCUUGCUACCGGACCUAACGAGCGGGCGGAUGAGUAAUGCUUAGGAAUCUGCCUAUCAGUGGGGGACAACAUCUCGAAGGGGAUGCUAAUACCGCAUACGUCCUACGGGAGAAAGCAGGGGAUCUUCGGACCUUGCGCUAAUAGAUGAGCCUAAGUCGGAUUAGCUAGUUGGUGGGGUAAAGGCCUACCAAGGCGACGAUCUGUAGCGGGUCUGAGAGGAUGAUCCGCCACACUGGGACUGAGACACGGCCCAGACUCCUACGGGAGGCAGCAAUGGGGAAUAUUGGACAAUGGGGGGAACCCUGAUCCAGCCCUUCCGCUUGAGUGAACCCGGCAGAUAUGGGUUUAAGAAAUGUA
rnacentral:rRNA from 1 species